rnacentral:rRNA from 1 species
AUUGAACGCUGGUGGCAGGCCUAACACAUGCAAGUCGAGCGGAUGAAGGGAGCUUGCUCCUGGAUUCAGCGGCGGACGGGUGAGUAAUGCCUAGGAAUCUGCCUGGUAGUGGGGGAUAAUGUCCGGAAACGGGCGCUAAUACCGCAUACGUCCUGAGGGAGAAAGUGGGGGAUCUUCGGACCUCACGCUAUCAGAUGAGCCUAGGUCGGAUUAGCUAGUUGGUGGGGUAAAGGCCUACCAAGGCGACGAUCCGUAACUGGUCUGAGAGGAUGAUCAGUCACACUGGAACUGAGACACGGUCCAGACUCCUACGGGAGGCAGCAGUGGGGAAUAUUGGACAAUGGGCGAAAGCCUGAUCCAGCCAUGCCGCGUGUGUGAAGAAGGUCUUCGGAUUGUAAAGCACUUUAAGUUGGGAGGAAGGGCAGUAAGUUAAUACCUUGCUGUUUUGACGUUACCAACAGAAUAAGCACCGGCUAACUUCGUG